UACGGAGGGUGCAAGCGUUGUCCGGAAUCACUGGGCGUAAAGGGCGCGUAGGCGGCUCAUGAAGGCUGUGGUGAAAGUCCGGGGCUCAACCUCGGAUCGGCCGUGGCGACUCGUGGGCUGGAGCACUGUAGAGGCGGGUGGAAUUCCGGGUGUAGCGGUGGAAUGCGUAGAGAUCCGGAAGAACACCAGUGGCGAAGGCGGCCCGCUGGGCAGUGGCAGACGCUGAGGCGCGACAGCGUGGGGAGCAAACAGG
rnacentral:rRNA from 1 species